rnacentral:rRNA from 1 species
GACGAACGUUGGCGGCGUGCCUAAUACAUGCAAGUCGAACGCUUCUUUCCUCCCGAGUGCUUGCACUCAAUUGGAAAGAGGAGUGGCGGACGGGUGAGUAACACGUGGGUAACCUACCCAUCAGAGGGGGAUAACACUUGGAAACAGGUGCUAAUACCGCAUAACAGUUUAUGCCGCAUGGCAUAAGAGUGAAAGGCGCUUUCGGGUGUCGUUGAUGGAUGGACCCGCGGUGCAUUAGCUAGUUGGUGAGGUAACGGCUCACCAAGGCCACGAUGCAUAGCCGACCUGAGAGGGUGAUCGGCCACACUGGGACUGAGACACGGCCCAGACUCCUACGGGAGGCAGCAGUAGGGAAUCUUCGGCAAAGGACGAAAGUCUGACCGAGCAACGCCGCGUGAGUGAAGAAGGUUUUCGGAUCGUAAAACUCUGUUGUUAGAGAAGAACAAGGACGUUAGUAACUGAACGUCCCCUGACGGUAUCUAACCAGAAAGCCACGGCUAACUACGUG